GAUGAACGCUAGCGGCAGGCCUAACACAUGCAAGUCGAGGGAGAGGUUACCUUCGGGUAACCAACACCGGCGCACGGGUGCGUAACGCGUAUACAAUCUGCCUUUCACAUAGGGAUAGCCCGAAGAAAUUUGGAUUAAUACCUAAUGGUAUAUAAGAGCGGCAUCGUUUUUAUAUUAAAGCUACGGUGGUGAAAGAUGAGUAUGCGUUCUAUUAGCUAGUUGGAGAGGUAACGGCUCCCCAAGGCGACGAUAGAUAGGGGUUCUGAGAGGGAUGUCCCCCACACUGGUACUGAGAUACGGACCAGACUCCUACGGGAGGCAGCAGUGAGGAAUAUUGGACAAUGGUCGGAAGACUGAUCCAGCCAUGCCGCGUGCAGGAUGAAGGUCCUAUGGAUUGUAAACUGCUUUUGGAAGGGAAGAAUAAGGAGUACGUGUACUUUGAUGACGGUACCUUACGAAUAAGCAUCGGCUAACUCCGUG
rnacentral:rRNA from 1 species